GGUCCAGACACAGUGAGGAUUGACAGAUUGAGAGCUCUUUCUUGAUUCUGUGGGUGGUGGUGCAUGGCCGUUCUUAGUUGGUGGAGUGAUUUGUCUGCUUAAUUGCGAUAACGAACGAGACCUUAACCUGCUAAAUAGCCCGUACUGCUUUGGCAGUUCGCCGGCUUCUUAGAGGGACUAUCGGCUCAAGCCGAUGGAAGUUUGAGGCAAUAACAGGUCUGUGAUGCCCUUAGAUGUCCUGGGCCGCACGCGCGUUACACUGACAGAGCCAGCGAGUAUUUCCUUGACCGGAAGGUCCGGGUAAUCUUGUUAAACUCUGUCGUGCUGGGGAUAGAGCAUUGCAAUUAUUGCUCUUCAACGAGGAAUCCCUAGUAAGCGCAAGUCAUCAGCUUGCGUUGAUUACGUCCCUGCCCUUUGUACACACCGCCCGUCGCUACUACCGAUUGAAUGGCUCAGUGAGAUCUCCGGACUGGCCCAGAGAGGUGGGCAACUACCACUCAGGGCCGGAAAGCUGCUCAAACUCGGUCAUUUAGAGGAAGUAAAAGUCGUAACAAGG
rnacentral:rRNA from 1 species